CAAGGGCACUGAGGCAGUCAUAGUGAGGACAUGACACUAGGCCACAGUCUAGGAAGCGGGUGACACUUGAACCCUGCAGUCUGGCUCUGGAGACCUGGCCGGGUGGGUAUUUGUGUUUAUUUGUCAUCUUUAGAAAUGAGACCAGGAAGGGGAUGGGGCUGUCACUAAUUAGAAUAUCACCCUGAGCCUUCUGCUAACCUCUGACAAGGAUCACUGCGUUUCUGGAAGAGUCCACAAAUCCUGAGAACAACCCCACUUUUCAGAUGCAUAAACAGCAGCACAGAGGGCGCUUCACGGCCAGCCCUCAGCACAGGCUACAGCAUUAGGAUUGCAUGUGCCUUGCACGGGUCCCUGAGUCCACGCGGGGAUCCCACUGCCACACUACCUUCCUUACCCUCUCCCUAUUUGAACCACACCUGGGAUCACUCCCUUCUCCCACUCAGAAUGGGGCUGGCCUGGGCUCUGGUCUCAGCCCAGAGCCUCCCCUGGAUGUCCCAGUAGCUGCUGGUCAGUGUCACUCACUGUGUUGGGAGGACAUUUCUUCCCAACUCCUGGCAAGGAGAAAGCAUCAGUGGUGCCGCGUCCCCUGCCCCUGGCACUUCACUUGCUUUGCUCUGUGGGUGGGCAGACCUGCAGAAGCACAUACACACCUUCUCCAGGGUCUCCUGGAAGCAAGAGGCCAGCCUAGGGAUAGACUCCAGUGACCUUGUGAAUGUAUCUGCUUAAAGCUGGGCUCAGUAUCAGUAAGUCCAUCUGGUUGAGAUACCUGCAGCCAUAUGCUCCAACCCAGCUUCUCUCAGUAAUCAAGCCCAGUAAAAUAAAAAAGACUACCUUUGAGGCAACUUUAAAUCCUCAGAGGUCAAGGAACAAAAGCCUCAUUCAGAAUGAGUAAAAGAGGAGAAAAAGAUGCUCUUUCCAGCUACGUACACGUUGGUGGUGAAGAUGCCGUAGAUGAGGUCCAGCUCCGGCAGGAAGAAAGUGCUUUGCAGCUCGUUGUAGUAGAAGGGCACCUCCCCGGGCCGGGAGCAGUUGAGGCGAGCCUUCAUGAAGGUGGUCCAGGUGUCCUCCAGCAGGAACCGCCCCCCAAUGUCGUUCUUGCAGACGCGAGCGGCUCUGGAGAACACGGUCUUCCCACAGUCAUGCUCCACGGCAUUUUCUCGGAAGAAGAAGUAGGUGAAAUUUCCGAUGUCAUAGGAGGACACAAAGUUUGGUUCUGAGAACGACAGGAAAGAAGAAAAAUCUCAACAUCCAUGUGUCAUUCCUGAUUUUAUCUUGGCCUGCUCCGUAUUUCUCCCAAGGAGACAGGCUUCUGCUCAGACAACACCUGGACCUUACAGGACAAAUGGAAAGCCCUGCGAGCAGCUUAAUGGUCUGUGCUACUGGGACACUCAGGCUCAUGCCCAGGUUCCAAAUGACGGGCCAUCCAUACCAUGCUUCCACACUGCAGCACCCUGAGCCGGACCCGUGCCCGAGCUAGCAUGACAUCAAUGCCAUCAAAAGGCCAGGGGAGAUUUGCAGAACAAAUUAAAGCCAUGUCUAUUUCUUUGCUUGAAAAGUCUUACACCAACUUUGGAAACAGAGAGCAAAUAAGAUUAAAAAGGUGAAAUUUGAUUCAGAA